GGAAAAUGGUUGGGCCACCGUACGAUUGCCUGGCAAACCCUCUCGGAGCCGUCCGAUUGACUUUCGAGAAGGCGAUUGGGUCCGGCUCGCACCCUUCCUCCUUCGAUGGCAAAGAUUGGGGCACCGUCGACCUGUUCCGUCACUUUCUCUUCGACCAAUCCCACCUUUCUCAGGUUCCUAUUCUUAAUCUUGCAACUAUAAGAUGGAUUCAGCCUAACACUCUAGUUCGGUUCCGGGGAAUGAUUCAAGACAUGUUAGGAAAUGAAUUCUAUGUUGGUGCUUACAAGGAUGGUUCAGUUUGGAGGACAAACAAGUACAUGGAUUUUUCUCAGUUCCCCAUAGGCUCUUCCCCAGACAGUCGAGUUUGGGAACGCCGACUGCUGUACUGUGUUCCAGUUCCUGGAAUAAAUUCAUGGGCUGAAUCUGCUUCUGAGGUAGCCAUUGAUAGAUGCAUGAAUUGGACAUCCCAACAAAGAGAUAAGCGUGGGAGAAUGGAUUUUGAAGCUAUGGAUGCCAAAGAUUUUCCUGUUUCAGGCAGUAAUUUUGAAGAUUCUCCUAGUGCAAAAAGGAUGAAAGAGGAUGGGCAAGACUAUAAAACUGAAGCUGCAUGUUCUGGCACAACUGUGGUGUCAGAAAUUGACAAAGAUUCUUUUCCUUGUCUAGUGAAGAUAUAUGAUUCUCCUGAGUCAGAGUUGAAGCUAAAUGAUGUUUUUGAAUUUGUUGGGGUUCUUACUUUUGAUUCAGAGAUUCCAGCAGAGAAGGGUGAUCAGGAUGAGUUCUGUAAUGAUUAUUGUGAUGAUGUUUUGGUACAUUUGCCAUCCAGCAAGGUCCCACGGCUACAUUGUAUUAUUCAUCGGAAGCUUGCAGCUCACGAUUUUCUGCACACUUCCCCCAUAAUUGAGAAGCCCCAUUGGGUCAAAGAUGUGAGGGAAUCUCUGUUGAAGCAUCUUACAGAUGUUCUUGGAAAUGAUGGGGUAGCAGCACAUUACAUGUUGCUGCAUCUCCUGUCCAGGGUACAUUCCAGGGUAGACAAUGUUGCAGUGGGGAAGCUUUCAUUAAACAUUACUUGUUUGAGCAAAGAGAGUGUUUCUGUAUUUGGCACCCAGCUUAGUCUUGCUAUCAAGAACCUUCUACCAUUUUCAACAUGCAUACCCCUAACUGUGGAAUAUCUUAGCAGAAGUUCUCUUGCCCCCAAAAAAGAUUAUCAGACAAACAGACUGAUACCUGGAGUCCUGCAGCUUGCUGAGGGCUCACACUUGAUCAUUGAUGAGACCCAAUUGGAGACAGGAACCCUCAACUCUGUUGGUGUUGACAAUGCAAGGUUGCUAAGAAAUUUAAUAGAGUUCCAAAAGGUGGUGCUUAUCUUUUCUUGGCUGUGGAUGCCUGCAUUUUCUGUUUAUGAUCUUUUAUUGGCCCUUAUCAGAGCUUGACUCUUAUAGCAUGUAUGUGGAAAUUGAACACGAUUUAUUCCACUGCAGGCUCAAUCUAGUGCAGAGAAUCUUCUGGUGUUUAGUCUUUUGAAAAGGGAUUUUUAAUGUAGGUUCAUCAGCGCUUGGUGUUGCAAGCGAUUAAGUUGUCUCACUGUUAAAAUACGUUUGUUUCAGGUUGAGUAUGAUUUUACAUACUAUAAGAUGGAGAUGACAGCUGAUGUUCAAUUGCUAAUAUUGUCUGAGGGGAAAUCAAACAUCUUGCCAGCUGAUAUAAUCAUGCCCUUCCAGCCUUCUUCAGUUGGUUCCUCAGAAGUUGUGGCUACAAAAGCCCUGGAGGCUUGGAGAUGGUACUUGGCUACUGUCAGAUCAUUGCCACAUUCUAUUGAGUCUGAAAUGCAGAAGGUGGUAGAAGAUGACCUGGUUGCUGCAAGGCAGACGGAUCGAAGUAUAGGCAGCCAAGAUUUUAGCAGAUGGUUGACAAUGGGCCGCCUAAUUUCUACAAGUUUUGGCGAGACAUCACUAUCAUUGGAGCAUUGGCAAAUGGUAAAGGAGUUAGAGAGGCAAAGGAGGGAGAGACUCAAGUGAAAUAUGCUCUGUUACUGCCUUACUGGAAUUGACCCACUUCAGUUCUUGUAAAAAACUAGUCCAAUGCCGAAAAUUUAAUUCAUGUUUAUUGUGCUCUUUUGAGCGAAGGUGUUAACGAUAUAGUACAUCAAGUUGCCUACUUUCUAUUCCAGUUGUUGAUUCUGUAGUAUGGCACUCAAAAAGCUGCUAAGCUCUAACCUUUGCACAACUCCCAAA
rnacentral:misc_RNA from 1 species